rnacentral:tRNA from 4 species
GCCGGGAUAGCUCAGUUGGUAGAGCACUUCACUGAAAAUGAAGGUGUCCCCAGUUCGAGUCUGGGUCCUGGCA